UACCAGUGUCCAGGAGCCCUGCUUGC
rnacentral:piRNA from 1 species